rnacentral:rRNA from 1 species
CCUACGGGUGGCAGCAGUAGGGAAGCUUCCACAAUGGGCGAAAGCCUGAUGGAGCAACGCCGCGUGGGUGAAGAAGGUCUUCGGAUCGUAAAACCCUGUUGGUAGAGAAGAAAGUGCGUGAGAGUAACUGUUCACGUGUCGACGGUAUCGAACCAGAAAGCCACGGCUAACUACGUGCCAGCAGCCGCGGUAAGACGUAGGUGGAAAGCGUUAUCCGGAUUUAUGGGGCGUAAAGGGAACGCAGGCGGUCUGUUCAGGCUGAUGUGAAAGCCUUCGGCUUAACCGGAGUAGUGCAUUGGAAACUGGGAGACUUGCGUGCAGCAGAGGAGAGUGGAACUCCAUUUGUAGCGGU